AAUUUAAUUUUAAAAUAAAAUUAAUUAAUUUGGUUAGUUUAGUAGUAUAUUAUUAAUUAAUUUUUAAUAUAAAAAAAUUACUAGGUUGGAUUUUAUAUAAGUUUUUUUAAUGAAUUAUUUUUAAUUUAUUAAUUUUAUUUUUUUAAUUAAAGUUUAAUUCUGACUUAUUAAUUUAUUAGGAGUUUUAUUUAAUAUAUAAAAUAUUUAAAUGGUGUCAAUAUUUUUUAAAUAAAAAUAUUAAAGAUAUUUAGUAUAUAAAAUUAUAUUUAUAAAAUGAAAGUUUUUUAUAGAAUAUACUUAAUUAAGAUGGAAAAAAUUUGUGCCAGCAUUCGCGGUUAGACAAAUUAAUCUGAGUAAAUUUUUUAAAUUUUGAAUAUAUUAGGUUUAAAUUUAUUGGGAUUUAAUUAAAUAAAUUAAAUUAAGGUGAAAUUUUAUUGAUUUUUAGAUUAAAUUUUAGAAAUUUAUUAAUAAUUUUUGAGAAUUUUUAAUUAAACUAGGAUUAGAUACCCUAUUAUUUUAAAUUGUAAAUUAUGUUUAUGUGUAAAUAAUUUUUUUAUUAAUUGAUAGUAUUUAAAAAUUUAUAGUUAAUUUUAAAUUAGGUAGUAUUAGUUAUGAUCUUGAAACUUUAAGAAUUUGACGGUAAUUCAUUCAUUUUAGAGGAACUUGUUUUUUAAUUGAUAUUCCACGAUAAAAUUUACCUAAUUUAUUUUGUUUGUAUAUCGUCGUUUUAAAAAAAUUUUUUUAGAAUAAUUUAAUUUUUUAAAUAUAAUUUUAAUUAUAUUAAUUCAGAUCAAGGUGCAGCUAUUUAUUUAGGUUAAAAUGAGUUACAAUAAAUUUAAUUUAUUUACGGAUUUUAAAAUUAAAUUUUUAAAUUAAGGUGGAUUUAAAAGUAAAUUUAAAUAAUUAUUUAGGUUGAGAAUUGUUUUGAAUUAUGUACAUAUCGCCCGUCGCUCUCGUUAUAAGAUGAGAUAAGUCGUAACAAAGUAAAGGUACUGGAAAGUGUCUUUAGAAUUAGAUUUUU
rnacentral:ncRNA from 1 species